rnacentral:rRNA from 1 species
GAACGCUGGCGGCGUGCCUAAUACAUGCAAGUCGAGCGAACAGACGAGGAGCUUGCUCCUCUGACGUUAGCGGCGGACGGGUGAGUAACACGUGGAUAACCUACCUAUAAGACUGGGAUAACUUCGGGAAACCGGAGCUAAUACCGGAUAAUAUAUUGAACCGCAUGGUUCAAUAGUGAAAGACGGUUUUGCUGUCACUUAUAGAUGGAUCCGCGCCGCAUUAGCUAGUUGGUAAGGUAACGGCUUACCAAGGCAACGAUGCGUAGCCGACCUGAGAGGGUGAUCGGCCACACUGGAACUGAGACACGGUCCAGACUCCUACGGGAGGCAGCAGUAGGGAAUCUUCCGCAAUGGGCGAAAGCCUGACGGAGCAACGCCGCGUGAGUGAUGAAGGUCUUCGGAUCGUAAAACUCUGUUAUUAGGGUAGAACAAAUGUGUAAGUAACUAUGCACGUCUUGACGGUACCUAAUCAGAAAGCCACGGCUAACUACGUG